rnacentral:rRNA from 1 species
CAGUCGCCGCGGUAAUACGGAGGGGGCUAGCGUUGUUCGGAAUUACCGGGCGUAAAGCGCACGUAGGCGGCUUGGUAAGUUAGAGGUGAAAGCCUGGAGCUCAACUCCAGAAUUGCCUUUAAGACUGCCGAGCUAGCAGGUGAGAGAGGUAAGUGGAAUUCCGAGUGUAGAGGUGAAAUGCGUAGAGAUCGGGAGGAACAUCAGUGGCGAAGGCGGCCAUCUGGGACAACACUGACGCUGAGGCACGAAAGCGUGGGGAGCAAACAGGAUUAGAUACCCCUGUAGUCCCUGUCUCUUAUAC